rnacentral:rRNA from 1 species
UACGGAGGAUCCAAGCGUUAUCCGGAAUUACUGGGCGUAAAGAGUUGCGUAGGUGGCAGAGUAUGUCAGUAGUGAAAGCGUGUGGCUCAACCAUAUAAACAUUACUGAAACUGCUCAGCUAGAGGACGAGAGAGGUUAUUGGAAUUCCUAGUGUAGGAGUGAAAUCCGUAGAUAUUAGGAGGAACACCGAUGGCGUAGGCAGAUAACUGGCUCGUUCCUGACACUAAGGCACGAAAGCGUGGGGAGCAAACGGG